rnacentral:rRNA from 1 species
UUGCCAGCCCGCUCAGAAACUCAAAGGAAGUUGACGGGGCCCGCACAAGCGGUGGAGUAUGUGGUUUAAUUCGAUGCAACGCGAAGAACCUUACCUGGUCUUGACAUCCCGGAGACCCUUAGGAAACUAGGGGGUGCUUCCAUCUGGAAGAAUCUGGAGACAGGUGCUGCAUGGCUGUCGUCAGCUCGUGUCGUGAGAUGUUGGGUUAAGUCCCGCAACGAGCGCAACCCUUGCCUUUAGUUGCCAGCAGUUCGGCUGGGCACUCUAAAGGGACUGCCGGUGUUAAACCGGAGGAAGGUGGGGAUGACGUCAAGUCCUCAUGGCCUUUAUGACCAGGGCUACACACGUACUACAAUGGCCGAUACAAAGGGCAGCGACACUGCGAGGUGAAGCCAAUCCCGUAAAAUCGGUCUCAGUCCGGAUUGGAGUCUGCAACUCGACUCCAUGAAGUUGGAAUCGCUAGUAAUCGUGGAUCAGCAUGCCACGGUGAAUACGUUCCCGGGCCUU